AUUCAGUCCGGAGGCUCGGACACCGACGUUGGAAGAUAUUGNUUUCCUUUUGACAGGGGCCGUCCNAUUCGCGGGAAAGUUCCGUCCGCCCGACGCAUUUGACUCUNGUCCUGAGGACCCCNCANCCGGUGGGCAAGCNCAGCACACGGNCCUNAAGGGGCGCAAGGUAGCCAGGUGGCCCGGUGUUCGGGUUUUCCGGNCCUGCCGGGUUGUUUAGCCGAUGCGUCAGUGGCCACGUCGCUCGACCGAAGGUAUCACGAGGCCCCAGACGGGGGCUCUCACGUCUCCUCCUCCACAAAAGGAUGCCGGGACAGACCGUCGCAGGCGAAGCAGCCGGCCCGCCGCACUCCCCACGAGUGGCGGUCGAUAAAGUNGGCGCCGCUGGUGACGGCGGACCCGUCGGAGGCACGGAGGCUGGCGGCGAGUAGGUCGGUCACCCACCCGACCCGGUCUUGAAACACGGACCAAGGAGUCUAACAUGUGCGCGAGUCAAUGGGUCUCGAAUAAGCCCAGAGGCGCAAUGAAAGCAAAGGCAAGGCAGAAGCCUGCCGAGUUGGGAUCCCCGAUGAAAUAAGCGGGGCGCACCAACGACCCGUCCCGAGCGGCUCGCCGCUGGGGCGGAGUGUGAGCGCACACGUUGGGACCCGAAAGAUGGUGAACUAUGCCCGGACAGGACGAAGCCAGAGGAAACUCUGGUGGAGGUCCGCAGCGGUUCUGACGUGCAAAU
rnacentral:rRNA from 1 species